UACAGAGGUGGCAAGCGUUGUUCGGAAUUACUGGGCGUAAAGGGCGCGUAGGUGGCCUUCUUAGUCAGACGUGAAAUCCCCGGGCUUAACUCGGGAACUGCGUCUGAUACUGGAUGGCUUGAAUCCGGGAGAGGGAUGCAGAAUUCCAGGUGUAGCGGUGAAAUGCGUAGAUAUCUGGAGGAAUACCGGUGGCGAAGGCGGCAUCCUGGACCGGCAUUGACGCUGAGGAGCGAAAGCCAGGGGAGCAAACGGG
rnacentral:rRNA from 1 species